UUGGUCAUUUAGAGGAAGUAAAAGUCGUAACAAGGUUUCCGUAGGUAACCUGCGGAAGGAUCAUUAAAGAAUGCCCCGUUUUUUGAAAUGGGUUCAUUCCCAAACCGUGUAUACAUACCUUUGUUGCUUUGGCAGGCCGCCUUCGGCGUCGGCUCACGCUGACCGCGCCUGCCAGAGGACCCAAACUCGUUUGUUCGUGAUGUCUGAGUACUAUAUAAUAGUUAAAACUUUCAACAACGGAUUCUUGGUUCUGGCAUCGAUGAAGAACGCAGCGAAAUGCGAUAAGUAAUGGAAUUGCAGAAUUCAGUGAAUCAUCGAAUCUUUGAACGCACAUUGCGCCCUUGGUAUUCCGAGGGGCAUGCCUGUUCGAGCGUCAUUAUGACCACUCAGCCUAGCUUGGUAUUGGGGUUCGCGGUCUCGCGGCCCUUAAAAUCAGUGCGGUGCCAUCUGGCUCUAAGCGUAGUAAUUUAUCUCGCUAUUGGGUCCGUGGUUGCUUGCCAACAACCCCCAACUUCUAAGGUUGACCUCGGAUCAGGAGGGAUACCCGCUGAACUUAAGCAUAUCAAUAAGCGGAGGAAAAGGGCC
rnacentral:rRNA from 1 species